rnacentral:snRNA from 1 species
AUAGUUGAACUCCUCAUCUCAAGG